UCCGGGAUCGUCUAGCGGAAGGACGGCGGACUCUGAAUCCGUCAACGCAGGUUCGAAUCCUGCUCCCGGAUCCG
rnacentral:tRNA from 1 species